rnacentral:tRNA from 1 species
GACAGCGUAGCUCAGCCGGUAGAGCAACGGUCUUUUAAGCCGUGGGUCCUGGGUUCGAAUCCCAGCGCUGUCA